rnacentral:rRNA from 1 species
UUCCGGUUGAUCCCGCCGGAGGCCAUUGCUAUUGGGAUCCGAUUUAGCCAUGCUAGUCGUACGAGUUCAUACUCGUGGCGAAUAGCUCAGUAACACGUGGCCAAACUACCCUUCGGAGCUCCAUACCCUCGGGAAACUGAGGCUAAUAGAGCAUCACACACCACCACUGGAAUGAGUAGUGUGUCAAAUGUUCCGGUGCCGAAGGAUGUGGCUGCGGCCGAUUAGGUAGACGGUGGGGUAACGGCCUACCGUGCCAAUAAUCGGUAUGGGUCAUGAGAGUGAGAACCCAGAGACGGAAUCUGAGACAAGAUUCCGGGCCCUACGGGGCGCAGCAGGCGCGAAACCUUUACACUGCACGACAGUGCGAUAGGGGGAUCCCAAGUGCACAGGCAUAGCGCCUGUGCUUUUCGGUACCCUAAGGCGGUACCAGAAUAAGGGCUGGGCAAGACCGGUGCCAGCCGCCGCGGUAAUACCGGCAGCCCAAGUGAUGGCCGAUCUUAUUGGGCCUAAAGCGUCCGUAGCUGGCCGCGCAAGUCCAUCGGGAAAUCCACCUGCUCAACAGGUGGGCGCCCGGUAGAAACUGCGUGGCUUGGGACCGGAAGGCGCGACGGGUACGUCCGGGGUAGGAGUGAAAUCCCGUAAUCCUGGACGGACCGCCGAUGGCGAAAGCACGUCGCGAGAACGGAUCCGACAGUGAGGGACGAAAGCCAGGGUCUCGAACCGGAUUAGAUACCCGGGUAGUC